UACGAAGGGGGCUAGCGUUGCUCGGAAUUACUGGGCGUAAAGCGCACGUAGGCGGCUUGUUAAGUCAGGGGUGAAAUCCUGGAGCUCAACUCCAGAACUGCCUUUGAUACUGAAGAUCUUGAGUUCGGGAGAGGUGAGUGGAACUGCGAGUGUAGAGGUGAAAUUCGUAGAUAUUCGCAAGAACACCAGUGGCGAAGGCGGCUCACUGGCCCGAUACUGACGCUGAGGCACGAAAGCGUGGGGAGCAAACAGGG
rnacentral:rRNA from 1 species